CUUUGAUUGAAGUUUUCAGUUGUCAAACUGUUCAAAAAGUUUCGUUUUCCAUUUUAUUUGAAUCUAGAGUGACCAUGAUUCUUGGCAGUAAAAAAACUGAUACGUACUGGACUGGAAUAGACAAGUACUUUCGACGACCAGCUUGCGGACACAGAUGUAUCCCUACUAGAGCAGGAUCAGCAGCUAACCCUGGAUCCCGGCGCUAAGCCACAAGCAAGUGUACUUCAGCUUCCGGAACCUAUUUCGAAAUGGCAUGGUCCAGAAUUAUUUCCUGAUUACAUCAAGUCUUUUGCAGGCAGAACAAAGGCUGCAAC